rnacentral:rRNA from 1 species
GAUGAACGCUGGCGGCGUGCCUAAUACAUGCAAGUCGAGCGAACAGACGAGGAGCUUGCUCCUCUGACGUUAGCGGCGGACGGGUGAGUAACACGUGGAUAACCUACCUAUAAGACUGGGAUAACUUCGGGAAACCGGAGCUAAUACCGGAUAAUAUAUUGAACCGCAUGGUUCAAUAGUGAAAGACGGUUUUGCUGUCACUUAUAGAUGUAUCCGCGCCGCAUUAGCUAGUUGGUAAGGUAACGGCUUACCAAGGCAACGAUGCGUAGCCGACCUGAGAGGAUGAUCGGCCACACUGGAACUGAGACACGGUCCAGACUCCUACGGGAGGCAGCAGUAGGGAAUCUUCCGCAAUGGGCGAAAGCCUGACGGAGCAACGCCGCGUGAGUGAUGAAGGUCUUCGGAUCGUAAAACUCUGUUAUUAGGGAAGAACAAAUGUGUAAGUAACUAUGCACGUCUUGACGGUACCUAAUCAGAAAGCCACGGCUAACUACGUG